CUUUUAAUGAGAGUUUGAUCCUGGCUCAGGACGAACGCUGGCGGCGUGCCUAAUACAUGCAAGUAGAACGCUGAGGUUUGGUGUUUA
rnacentral:rRNA from 1 species